rnacentral:rRNA from 1 species
GACGAACGCUGGCGGCGUGCCUAAUACAUGCAAGUUGAGCGAUGAAGAUUGGUGCUUGCACCAAUUUGAAGAGCAGCGAACGGGUGAGUAACGCGUGGGGAAUCUGCCUUUGAGCGGGGGACAACAUUUGGAAACGAAUGCUAAUACCGCAUAAUAACUUUAAACAUAAGUUUUAAGUUUGAAAGAUGCAAUUGCAUCACUCAAAGAUGAUCCCGCGUUGUAUUAGCUAGUCGGUGAGGUAAAGGCUCACCAAGGCGAUGAUACAUAGCCGACCUGAGAGGGUGAUCGGCCACAUUGGGACUGAGACACGGCCCAAACUCCUACGGGAGGCAGCAGUAGGGAAUCUUCGGCAAUGGACGAAAGUCUGACCGAGCAACGCCGCGUGAGGGAAGAAGGUUUUCGGAUCGUAAAACUCUGUUGGUAGAGAAGAACGUUGGUGAGAGUGGAAAGCUCAUCAAGUGACGGUAACUACCCAGAAAGGGACGGCUAACUACGUG